UACGGAGGGUGCAAGCGUUAUCCGGAUUUACUGGGUUUAAAGGGAGCGUAGGUGGGUCGGUAAGUCAGUGGUGAAAUCUUCGAGCUUAACUCGGAAACUGCCAUUGAUACUAUCGAUCUUUGAAUUAUCUGGAGGUAAGCGGAAUAUGUCAUGUAGCGGUGAAAUGCUUAGAUAUGACAUAGAACACCCAUUGCGAAGGCAGCUUACUACGGAUAUAUUUGACACUGAGGCUCGAAAAGCGUGGGGGAUCAAAACAGG
rnacentral:rRNA from 1 species